rnacentral:rRNA from 1 species
AAAGGAAUUGACGGGGACCCGCACAAGCAGUGGAGCAUGUGGUUUAAUUCGACGCAACGCGAAGAACCUUACCAGGGCUUGACAUAUUGAUUACUACCCCCUUAGAAAUAAGGGGAGACUAUAAAUACAGGUGGUGCAUGGUUGUCGUCAGCUCGUGUCGUGAGAUGUUGGGUUAAGUCCCGCAACGAGCGCAACCCCUUUCCUUAGUUGCCAUCAUUCAGUUGGGAACUCUAGGGAUACUGCCGAUGUAAGUCGGAGGAAGGUGGGGAUGACGUCAAAUCAUCAUGCCCUUUAUGUCCUGGGCGACACACGUGCUACAAUGGCCGGUACAAAGAGAUGCAAUACCGCGAGGUGGAGCAAAUCCCAUAAAGCCGGUCUCAGUUCGGAUUGGAGUCUGCAACUCGACUCCAUGAAGCUGGAAUUGCUAGUAAUCGCGAAUCAGCCAUGUCGCGGUGAAUACGUUCCCGGGUCUUGUACACACCGCCCGU